CUGUGUUUGGCUGUUGGCUGUUGGCAACGGAGGAGACUCCACUUUGCGUGGCAGCCGAUCUGCAGGUUGAACGUGGAAACUUGCAGUACAAUCAAAUCUACUGCAAGAGGUCAAAGCAGUGGGUGGUGAAGAAAGUGUACAAGAGGCUUGUCCACCUGGCUGUGGAGUGCAGAAAGGACCAGACGGUUGUCUACAAGGAGCCAGUCACAGCCUCCAAAACCCAGCAUCCCUGCCAACAUCACCACAGAACCAAAUCCUGCUAAACUAACUGCCAAUACACAACACAAGAACCAGCUGAAGACCGUUCUGCAACCUGCCUGGAACAUUCAAACAACACAACAUCCACAUUCAGUUAGACUGAUGUAGUACAAUAUAGAAUGCCGAGUAUGCUCACAACUGUAUUGUGGUAUAGAUAUUUCUAGCUGUUGUACAUAUGUAUACAAUGGUGUUUUAUAUCAUCUUGUGUACAGACAAGUGACUAAAUGAUUCCAGCUACAUCAGAAAGCAAAGAAGUGUUGAAUUCAACAUCUUGAUCAAUUCAUUGUGAUAUUGAUGAAAUGUAUUUGAAUAAACUAGCUUUAAACUA